AAUAACUUAAUUUUUAAAUAAGGGUUUAGUUGAUAAUUUUAGCUAAAAGGAAUUUAAAAGAAAAGAAAUUCGUAAUUAAAAUUAAAGAGAAAAUAGAAAAAGAAGCAAUUUAGUGGGCCAAGCCCAAAAAGGAAAAAAAAAAAGGGGGGGGGGGGGGGGGGGGGGCUUUAAAAUUCUGAUGGCUAAGCCAUCAGACGUGAAUCACUAAAUUGCUGAAAGGAAAAAAAAAGGGGGAAACGUGCCAACAGAAGGAGAAAAAAAACAGUGGGACAAAGGAAAAGAAAGGGAGAAAAAGAAAGGAAAAGAGAGGAUAAAAAUAAGAACUUUCAUCCCAAAUCAUCAAGUUUGAGGCAAUCCGGAGACUCGAGAACGCAGUUUUGAAUUAUUGGGAAGUGUGCUUGAAUUGUGAAUUCGAGAUACUGUCGUUGAGAACGAGGCUGGUAAUUGAAGACUUCGUGAGUGGAUUCUGUUGCUGAGGUGAGCCACCGCAUUGUUCGUGGAGGCAACUAUUUCAGCUUUAUCUAGCUUAUUUCUAGUUAUUUCUUUUAUUUUGGGUUUACAU